rnacentral:misc_RNA from 1 species
GAUAAGAACGUAGUGAAAUGCGAUACGUAAUGUGAAUUGCAGAAUUCAGUGAAUCAUCGAGUCUUUGAACGCACAUUGCGCCCCCUGGUAUUCCGGGGGGCAUGCCUGUCCGAGCGUCAUUGCUGCCCUCAAGCACGGCUUGUGUGUUGGGCCUCCGUCCUCCUCCCGGGGGACGGGCCCGAAAGGCAGCGGCGGCACCGCGUCCGGUCCUCGAGCGUAUGGGGCUUCGUCACCCGCUCUUGUAGGCCCGGCCGGCGCUUGCCGACACAUCAAUCUUUUUUCCAGGUUGACCUCGGAUCAGGUAGGGAUACCCGCUGAACUUAAGCAUAUCAAUAAGCGGAGGA